rnacentral:misc_RNA from 1 species
GGAGUAGAGAAUUGCUUGUGCUUCCCAUAGCCAAAUUGAUAUUCAGUUCACAAAAUUAUUCUUAUUUGCUUGUAAGUAUAAAGAUAGAGAGAGAGAGAGAGAGUCCAGGAGCUGAACAAUCUUGUUGUUGUCCCUCCACAUAUGUACAUAUAUGUACAAGUAUUGUUACAUAAAAACACUUGAAAUUGAACAUAAUUACAGAAGGAUGCCAUUGAUGAUGAUGAUGCAAGGUAGUCCAUGACACGUAAGCCAAAUAGAUUGACCAAACUACCCUGGAAACAUUAUUGGAAUUUUCUAGGUUUUUGGGUAUAUAAACCUGACAUGUGGAGUGUCUGUUUGUUGCAACAUGGAAUUGUUUAUGAGUUUUGAUUUGUGGGUUUUGCUUUUAAGGUCUAAAAGAAA